GCAAGCCCUAAAUCGUGUAUCCAUAAGCUUCUUUCUAAUGAGAUUUUCCCGCAAGCUGUACCCGCAAGCUUCUUUUUUCUGCUAUGAUUCUUCAAACAAAGGCUCUUAUUGUUCGUGGAGCUCUUCGGUUUGGGUUCGUCUUUGUCUUCCGUUGCUUAGGAACAAAAACCUGGUGCAUUUCUGGGUUGAACGAGUUCGACCGUCAAUGUAUUGUUCGUCGAAGGUCCUGGUGCCUCCAAUCGAGGGGCUCUAGCGUGUGUUCGCUCCCACACCGACCAUCAAGUAAUGUGGUCAAGCUUCGCUCUCUCUGCUUUUGCCUCUCUGAGAUGUUUUUGUCAUGUCCAAGGUAUAAUAAUUUGUUACAAAAUAAUCCUAUCAUAGUGAAAUUGAUUCCUGCAAUUGGCGUUAUCAAUUUUGCAAUAUAGGGUGUUGGUCCAUUAUUGUUCCAGACAAGGAAAAUACUCUUCCAGAGGAGUGAUAAUAGUUGGAAGAAAAGUACCACUGACUAUAUAGUAACUUCUUACCUUCCGCCAUUACUGUUAUGGACUGGAGCAAUACUUAUUUGCAGAGCAUUGGAGCCAUUAAUUCUACCUUCAGAACCUGAUCAGGUUGUUAAGGACCGGCUUCUGAAUUUUGUGAGAUCAUUAUCAACGGUUCUGGCCUUUGCCUAUUGUUUAUCAAGGAAAAAAAAUUCAAACAUAUGAAUCUACAACAUCGUCUCAAUCAAAAGAAAUAUCAAGUUUAGAUUCAUUGGCUCAUGUUUUAGGAAGCCAAGAGCAUUGUGGACGUGUUCGCGGUCUAGGUUUAGGUCCUUGUCCAUCUAAAGUCUUUGGAGUUCAUGCUCGUUCUCAUAUUGGAUCAUCUUCAUCUACUCCUUCUAAUGUUGAAUUACAAUCUCAGGUAUCUUCAUUGACUUCUUCUAAUGUUAAAUUAGAAUCUCAGGUAUCUUCAUUGAUAUCACAAGUCAAUGAAAUGAAGGCAAUGAUGACACUUUUGUUGCAAAAUCAUCAAGGUCCAUUGCCUUCAUAGUUUGCAUUAUUUCAACGAUCAUCGGUAUCUGAUCAAGGGAGUGGGCCAAACAAUGGAUGUAAUGAAGAAGAAAAUUAGAUAUUGUUAGUGAAUAUCUUUAUGAGUCAUACUUUUAGUAUUGAACAUUUGUAUUGAACAUCUAUAUUGAACAUAUGUAAUGAACAUCUUUCUUUUUAAUUUUUAUGUAUGAACAAUUAGUUGUAUGAAUGAUAUUAGGUUGAACAAUG